GAACAAGCAGAGGUAAAAAUAAUAGUGUGUGCAUUGGCAGAAGCGGCAGCAGAUGCACAUGAAUGCUUGCUUGGUCAUCAAGAUGCUUUUGCCGAUGACAGAAAGGAAAUAAUUACAGAUGAGACAACCGCUGACACUCCUACAUAAGAAGGAGAUAGGAACAUCUUAAUCCUUCAAAACGUUUAUUGUAUAUUUUUAUUGCUUAAUCAUCUUUUAUAUAAUCGGUAGUUAGUUGUAAACAAUGUAUUAAUACGGUCUCAAUUUACCAGUACUAACUGUAUAAUGCCAAUUGCAUAGCGAAUAAUUAAGCGAGUACAAGUGCGUUAUGUUUUAUGAAACACACCUAGUAUUAUUUUAUUCUCUUUUUUCUUUGCAGAUAAUUCAAAGACAAUUUAGCGUAGCAGACAAAAUAAAUCUUCUACAACAAAUUACACAAAUAUCAUGCUAUAGAUAUUGCAUAAAUAAACUUAUAAACUGUUGAGACUGUGAAAAAUAUUUUUUUCUGUUCGAUAAUUUGUGUUCAUUUUCAUCAUUUAUAUAUUCAAUAUAUUUCCCCAUUUAAACGAUAUCACGUCUUUACAUUUUGUUAAGUAUCUAGCUUAUUGACUUAGCUUUUGGCCUAAUAAUAUGUAAAACAUAUACAUACGUGCCCUUUCUCACUUACGUUGUCUGCAUUAAACCUUUGGAUUACAA